AUGGAGGUUCCGGAAGAUCGUAGAGUUCCUUUGGUCGCAUACAAGCUGAAAGGAGGAGCUGAUGCAUGGUGGCAUCGCGUUCAAGACGAGCGUAGGCUGAGAGGAGAACCUCGUGUUAGAACUUGGCGACAAAUGAAAGGCCUCUUGAAAGGAAGAUUUUUGCCCGCUGAUUAUGACCAGAUCCUUUUUAUCCAAUUUCAAAUUUGUGCUCAAGGAAAUAGGACUGUUUCAGAUUACACGGAGGAGUUUCUAAGGCUACAAGUGAGGUGCAACCUUGCUGAAACUGAAGAGCAACAAGUUGCAAGGUACAUCAAUGGUCUCAAUGAUGCUAUUCAAGAUCGAUUGAUGAUGCAACAAAUCUGGUCCGUUGAUCAAGCACAAGCUCUAGCCUUAAAGGCCGAGAGGUUUGUGAGGAUGAGAAAGACAACUAAGGCUCCAUAUCCUCCAUACCCUCAUACCAAAGGCUCAUCUAGGAGCCAACCUAAUAGAGUGGAAGAAAAGACCACUCCACCAAAGACAAAACAGCCCAUCCUGAAGCAAACUAGAGGCAAGGGUAAGGCAAAUGAAGGCCCAAAGUGCUAUAAAUGUGGUAAAGAGGGAGAAUACGAAUCUCAAGAUGGUGAAAGCGAUGAGGAAGAAUACGAAUCUGAAGAUGUAGACGGACAAGAGGUUUGUCAAGAAGAAGGUGAAGAGGUGGUAUGCGUGAUCCAGCAUGUCCUAUGUUCCACACCACAACUCGAUGACACACAACAGAAGAAAAUAUUUGAGAGCAAAUGCACGGUGAAUGGAAAGGUAUGCAAACUAGUGAUUGAUAGUUGCAGCUGCGAGAAUCUUAUCUCCUAG
rnacentral:rRNA from 1 species